GGGGGCCCGCACAGGGGGUGGACCACUAGGUUAAUGGAGGAACCGCGAAAAACCUAAACAAGUCGUGAGGUUCUGGGAGAGCCAUAGAGAAGGGGCUUACCCUUCAAGGACAGAAUAACAGGUGGUACAUGGUUGUCGUCAGAUAGAGUCGUGAGAAGAUGGGUUAAGUCCCGCAACGAGAGCAACCCUUGAUCUUAGUAGCCAACAUUCAGUCGGGCGCUGUAAGGUGACUGCCGGAGACAAACCGGAGGAAGGUGGGGAUGACGUCAAAUCGUCAUGACCGUUAUGACGUGGCAUACACACGUGCUACAAAGGACAGAACAAAGGGCUGCAAGACCGCAAGGUUUAGCCAGUCCCAUAAAUCUGUUCUCAGUUCGGAUCGCAGUUUGCAAAUCGACUGCGUGAAGCAGGAAUCGCUAGUAAUCGCGGAUCAGCAUGCCGCGGUGAAUACGUUCCCGGGCCUUGUACACACCGCCCGUCACACCACGAGAGUAUGCAACACCUGAAGUCGGUGAGGUAACCUUUAUGGAGCCAGCCGCCGAAGG
rnacentral:rRNA from 1 species